UGUAGGAGCGAGCCUGCUCGCGAUGGCGAUAAGUCAGUCGACAUCAAUGUAGCUGACAGGCCGCCAUCGCGAGCAGGCUCGCUCCCACA
rnacentral:misc_RNA from 1 species